rnacentral:lncRNA from 10 species
CACAGCUCCUCGGUCUGUAAAGGAGAGUUCAUAUCUAGUUAGUCACCAGAUCUGCCUAAUCAUGGUGAGGCUGGAGGAAUCCAAAGUGGGCAUGCACUCUGCACUCAUUUCUUUAUUCAUGUGUGCCCAUCCCAACAAGCAGGGAGCCUGGCCAGGAGGGCCCCUGGGAGAAGGCACUGAUGGGCUGUGUUCCAUUUAGGAAGGAUGGACGGUUGUGAGACGGAUGAAUCUGAGCAUGGAGAUGUUAAGUGGCUUGCCUGAGCCACACAGCAGAUGGAUGGUGUAGCUGGGACCUGAGGGCAGGCAGUCCCAGCCCGAGGACUUCCCAAGGUUGUGGCAAACUCUGACAGCAUGACCCCAGGGAAUACCCAUCUCAGCUCUGGUCAGACACUGUGGAGUUGUGUUGUAACCCACACAGCUGGAGACAGCCACCCUAGCCCCACCCUUAUCCUCUCCCAAAGGAACCUGCCCUUUCCCUUCAUUUUCCUCUUACUGCAUUGAGGGACCACACAGUGUGGCAGAAGGAACAUGGAUUCAGGACCCAGAUGGACUUGCUUCACAGUGCAGCCCUCCUGUCCUCUUGCAGAGUGCGUCUUCCACUGUGAAGUUGGGACAGUCACACCAACUCAAUACUGCUGGGCCCGUCACACGGUGGGCAGGCAACGGAUGGCAGUCACUGGCUGUGGGUCUGCAGAGGUGGGAUCCAGAAGGUCUGGUGGGGAGGCCUGAGUGUGGCCUGGAUCAAUGAGUGAAGGUUGCACCCAGGGUGAGCAUGAGGAGCCAACUCAGUUCUUCCCUUGGCCCCUUAAAUGUUCCCUGAAAAAUCACUGACAUGAGGCUGAUGGAUUCAUAGGAGAAGAGGCACACAAAUGUGUCCAAUGUGUGUACACAAGAGCCUUCAGAAAGAAGACCCAAAGAUACAGGAAAAUUGUCCAUUUUCAUGCUUAGGUUCAGCAAAGUAUGGACAGUCAUGUAGAAAGAGGACUGGACAAAAAGGGCGUGGUCUAAUGCCAACAGAGUGAGUGGGGAACCCAGCAAGGCCUGUCUGUCUAGAUUCUUUCUGGUCUCUCUGAGCAGCAUAUCCCGCCCUUCCGGGUAUAGGGCGGGGCCCUCUCUGGAAUGGGGGCCUUAUGACCUACAGUCAAACAAGGCAGGUCAGGUCAUUUUUUUAUGGCCAGUUUUAACACAGAAGUCUGAUGGCUGGCAUUGGCGAAAAGGGGUUCUGGUUUCUAUGACUUGCCUUCGUAAAGAGGGAUUCUAAUUUGUAUGGCUAGCCUUUGGGGAGAAUGGGACAGCUUGUAAGGCUGAGGCCUGCAUUUUGGGAUACUGUUUUCUGAGCCCCAGCUUGUGCAUGCAUGCGAACAUAUGUGUGUGUGUGCAGGAGGCAGCCCGGCAAAGAAGCUGAGUGGGGAGUGGGCCUGUGGGUCAGAGGGUAAGGGGGUGCAAAAGGGCCACAGUGGGCUUGGAGCCCAGGGCAAUGGGGCAGGGGAGCUUGAGGCUCGUUACAAAAGGCCUGGCUGCUGAAAGUCCCCUCUCUGCCUCCUUCCCAGGCCAGCAGCCUGCACACCUCCUUUGCUCUCGGCAGGAGGGAAGUUGCUUUCAUCACCUGAGGUUCUGCUGCUGGAAAGUCUGUCCUCCUUUCCUCUUCUCUCCCAUCUCCCCCUCUCCCAAGGGUGCUCUGGCCCCCAUGCUCACACCAUGCUCAGUCCUACAGGUACAGAAACAGCCAGCCAGGGUGUUGCCCCCAGUCAAAUGCAGGGGCUUUGUGCCUGGGAGCUAAGCAUAUCCGCAUAACAUCUGCUUGCACUUGCUCUGGCAGACUGCAGCUUUAUCAAGUUCUCAGGGGGCUGAGCAGUGAGCUCAGAAAUCUGAGAUCUGACCUACUUUCCUCAAAGCAUCUUUGGGCCUGUUUCCAUCCUCCCUGCUCCUGGGCCUUGUUUCAUCUGUCCAUGGGCAGGUGCCUGCGUCCUUGCUGACUGCCGGCUACCUUUGCUGUCCUGCUGCCAGACCUCCGACUUCCUCCCUCUUCCUUAGCACAAGGUCUUUAGAGUUGCAGAAACUCAGGCCUGUGGAGUGUCUGAUGGCCCCUGAACAAACCAUGCAGAUCCUCAUGACUGCCCUGAUUCUGUCAGUCAAUCUGCAUUAGGAAGAGACACAGAGGACAAGACAUGGUCUCUGACCUUGAAUAGAGCAAAGUCUGAUGAAAAGAAUGAGCAAGGGUGGACUAGAGGGCUGAGAGCAGCACAGCUUAGCCACUUGCCACCACCCAACCCCGGGGCCUUUGCACAUGCUGGGCCUCAUGGGAGCCAGCUCUUGGCCUCUGUCCCCUUGGAUCUCAGACGGGCUUUGCCUCCCUCAACACGAUCUGAGUUAGGACCCUUUCUCCCCUCCCCUGCUCUGUGCAGUCCUCCUCACGGCUCUCUGAUGGCUGUGAUUGCUGGUUUAGAGGCUAUCUUCCCACUAGACUGCAGGUUUCCUGAGGACAAGGCCCACCUCUGCUUCCUUCUCCACUUGAUAGCCAGGGCCCGCAGGGGGUCAGGCUCUGGGUGGACAUCAAGUAAGUGUUACUGAAUGAGUGAAUAAGUGAGUGAGAGUGUGUGGACCCCUGGUUUGCUUUUCCCUGUGAAGAAACAGGAAGGAAAGCCCUCUAUGAGAAUCCUGAGUUGAAAAAUCCUGUGAAGCACUGACUUCCUUCGAAAAAGGGAAAAGAGGAGAAAAGUAACUGCAGUGGAGAACUUGACAAGCACUCCCUCGGCCAGGCGACCAACGCAGCAUCCGCAGGGAUGAGUCAUGCUGACACUAAGUGCCCUUGAAGAGAUGGGACGGGAAUGGCAUUUUACCUCCAGGGUCUUCCUCCCACAGAUGCAGAGCACAGUCUAAUCAUAACAAAACCACCAGACAAACUCCGACGGAAGGUUGUUCUACACAAUAACCUGAUCGUACUCGUCAAAACUCAUCAAAAACAAGAAAAGUCUGGGAAAUUGUCCCAGCCAAGAGAGGUCUGAGGAAACAUGAUGGUAAGAGGUAAUGUCAUGUCCUGGAUGGCAGGAGUCCCCAACCUUUUUGGUGACCUUUUUCCAUGGAUGGUGGUGGGGGAAGGUUUCAGGAUGAAGCUGUUCCACCUCAGAUCAUCAGGCAUUAGUUAGAUUUUUGUAAGGAGUGUGCAACCUAGAUCUCUCACGUGCGCACUUCACAAUAGGGUUCACGCUCCUAUGAGAAUCUAAUGUGGCCUCUGAUCUGACAGGAGGGAGAACUCAGGUGGUCAUGCUCCCUUGCCCGCUGCUCACUUCCUGCUGUGUGGCCAGUUCCUAACAGGCCACGAACGGGUACUGGUCCACGGCCCAGAAGUUGGGGAUUCCUGCUGUAUGGAAUCCUGGGAAAGAAAAAGUAUAUUAGGGGAAAAUUAAGAAAAUAAGAAUAAAAUACAGACUUCAGCUAAUAUUAAUGCAUCCACAUUGGAUCAUGAGUUGUAAUAACUAAACUAUAAUAAUGUAGGAUGUUGACAAUGGGAGCCUGAGUGUGGAGUAUAUGGAGACUCUCUGGGUUGUCUUCUCAAAUUUCCUGGAUAUCUGAAACUAUUUUAAAAUUAAAAGUUUAUUAAAGGCUGGACGUGUCCCAGCACUUUGGGAGGCCAAGGCAGAUGGAUCACUUGAGGCCAGGAGUUUAAGACCAGCCUGGGCAACAUGGUGAAACUCCACCUCUACUAAAACUACAAAAAUUAGUUGGGUAUGGUGGCACAUGCCUGUGGUCCCAGCUACUCGGAAGGAUGAGGCAUGAGAAGAACUUGAAUCUAGAAGGUGGAGGCUGCAGUGAGCUGAGAUCAUGCCACUGCACUCCAGCCUGGGUGACACAGCGAGACUCUGCCUCAAAAAAAAAAUGCUAUUAAAGGACUUCAGUUUAUGGUUUGACGUGUAAAGAGCUUGGAAGUCAUGACUCUAUCCUAACAAUAAGAAAAUGUUGAACAAACUGAAAAUUAACAACUCUCCUUAGAUCCAUUAAAGAAUGGAGGUCACAAGCAAAUGUCUGUCCCCGAAGUUAUAGAGAUGAGCUCUUACUGGAGCAGAAGCCCAAGAUCAGUAACUGCCACAGAACCCUGGGCCAGAGCAGGACAGCCUAAACUAGAACCGUCAAAGUGAGGGAGGCUCCAUGUGGACAUGUUUGCAAGUUAGAAACUGCAGGAGGGGGUCUCGGUUGCAGGGGGGCCCACACAUUCUCAUGAGUUUUACCUCCAGAGCCCUAGCAGGUUUUUACAGUGAAGGCAGGAGAACGAUCCCCCAUGCUUGCAGCAGAGGGAGGGAAAAGCAGCCAUUUCAAAACAUGCGGAAUUUAUGCUGUGUUCUUCACAAGACCUGACCCCAGGGGAAUCUGUUUUACCAAAGCCUAACUGACUAGGGUUUUAGCAGGGCCUAACCAACCUAGGGAAAUAUUCUACUCUAGCUCUCUCUAACCACUCUGUGUCACUUAAGGAGGAAAAUAAAGCAUAACUUGGAAGAAUGCAUGAUGGUCACAGCCCAGGUAUACAAGCUCAGUAGAAGACUGAGACCCCAUCAUAGGGCCAUAGGAUGCUUCCAGCCCCCACACACCUUACCCCCACACACCGUACCCCCACACACCGUACCCCCACACACCUUACCCCACACACCUUACCCCACACACCUUACCCCCAUGCCGAUGGGGUUCCUGUAGAACCACAAGGAUUACAGCUAAAAUAAAUGCAAGAUUCAGACUCUACUUAAGGAGGAGUUUCUUGGGAAAAUCUAAGACGAGAGGGGAGAUGAAAACAAGGAUCCAGAAGCGAUCUAAACUUGGAUAGCCACAGUACAGCAAUCGUGAACACAGGCAAAGAAACCACCUAAGAGACAGGGCAAGCAUCAGAUCCAGACUCAGACUGAGAAGAGACGAUGGAACCGCCAGACCAGGAGUACGAUACAUCCAUGACUAAUAUGCUAGGGGUCUAAUGGGAAAAGUGGACAAUAUAUUAAAAAAAUGAGAAAGUUUCUUAUCAGUAGACUGCCUUGCAAGAAAUGUUAAAUGAAAUUUUCAGAGAGAUAAAAAAUGAUGCAGGUCAGAAAUCGGAUAUACAUAAAUAAAGAAAAGCACAAGAGAAGGAAUAAAUGAAAGUAAAAUAAAAUGUUUUUAUUUUCUAUUCUUAUAGUAACACAGAACAGUUUGUUCGAAAUAAUAAUAGCCACACCCUAUGUGAUGAUUAUAGCUUAUGUAUAAGUGAAAGGAAUGACAGCAAUGUUAUAAGUGAUCGGAGGAGGGAAGGAAUUGGAAAUACUCUGUUACACAGUAAUCGCUCUACUCGCUAGUGGUAUAGUGCUAUUACAGAGGGGGCUAGAAUUAGUUAUAAAUAUAUAUUGUAAACUCAAGAAAAGCAUAAAAAUAUACAACCAUUAUAAAAAGUUAAAAUGUAGUAUAAUUCAUACGCUAAGAGAGGAGAAGAAAUGGAAUUAUACAAAAUAUGCCAUUAAAACCAGAGAGGGCAGAAAAUGAGUGGAAGACACAAUAAGAAAAGAAAAGGAAACAAAGAACAAAGGAAUUAAAUAGAAAAGGGUAACAAAUAUAAUAGAUAUCAACAAAAAAUAGAUACCAAUGACAAUUUUAAAUAUCAGUGUUCUAAAGACACUAAUUAAAAGACAAAGAGUGUCAGAGUGGAUGAGAAAACAAGACCCAACUCUAUGUUGUCUGCAAGAAGCCUGUUUUACAUAUAAAGACACAGCGUAAAAAUAGAUGGACAAAUAGAUACCAUGCUAACACUAAUCAAAGGAGAAAGCUGGAAUAGAUAUUAAUUUAAAAAAGACCAGACUUCAGAGCAAGGAAAAUUAUCAGGGGUAAAGAGGGAAAAAAGCG